UUAGCGGCGGACGGGUGAGUAAUACUUAGGAAUCUGCCUAUUAGUGGGGGACAACAUCUCGAAAGGGAUGCUAAUACCGCAUACGUCCUACGGGAGAAAGCAGGGGAUCUUUAUGACCUUGCGCUAAUAGAUGAGCCUAAGUCGGAUUAGCUAGUUGGUGGGGUAAAGGCCUACCAAGGCGACGAUCUGUAGCGGGUCUGAGAGGAUGAUCCGCCACACUGGGACUGAGACACGGCCCAGACUCCUACGGGAGGCAGCAGUGGGGAAUAUUGGACAAUGGGGGGAACCCUGAUCCAGCCAUGCCGCGUGUGUGAAGAAGGCCUUAUGGUUGUAAAGCACUUUAAGCGAGGAGGAGGCUUACCUGGUUAAUACCCAGGAUAAGUGGACGUUACUCGCAGAAUAAGCACCGGCUAACUCUGUGCCAGCAGCCGCGGUAAUACAGAGGGUGCAAGCGUUAAUCGGAUUUACUGGGCGUAAAGCGCGCGUAGGCGGCCAAUUAAGUCAAAUGUGAAAUCCCCGAGCUUAACUUGGGAAUUGCAUUCGAUACUGAUUGGCUAGAGUGUGGGAGAGGAUGGUAGAAUUCCAGGUGUAGCGGUGAAAUGCGUAGAGAUCUGGAGGAAUACCGAUGGCGAAGGCAGCCAUCUGGCCUAACACUGACGCUGAGGUGCGAAAGCAUGGGGAGCAAACAG
rnacentral:rRNA from 1 species